rnacentral:rRNA from 1 species
GUGAGACAGUUCGGUCCCUAUCUGUUGUGGGCGUAGGAGAUCUGAGGAGAGCUGUCCUUAGUACGAGAGGACCGGGAUGGACCUGCCACUGGUGCACCAGUUGUCGUGCCAACGGCACAGCUGGGUAGCCAAGCAGGGAAAGGAUAAGCGCUGAAAGCAUCUAAGCGCGAAGCCUACUCCAAGAUGAGAUCUCCCAUACGAAAGUAGUAAGACCCCUUGAAGACGACGAGGUAGAUAGGUCAGGGAUGGAAGCGUAGCGAUACGUGGAGUUGACUGAUACUAAUCGGUCGAGGACUUAAUCAA